GAGUGUGUGGGUCCCACCCCACACACUUUCCCCAAUCCAGCCCGAGCUUGAAGAAGAGCUGCUGCCUCCCCACUCUCUCUCACCCCUCAAGCUCCCCCCUCAAAUCCUCUCCAAAAGGCAUGGCUUCAUCCGGUUCCAGGACGAGGCCACCGUGCGCGGACCAAGAGGACAUGCCGAAGACGUGGUUGGAGGCCAGUUUGGACAAGAAGAAGGAGAAGGAUGUGCCCACACCACCAUGUUGGUGUGGUGAUGUUUGCAAGCUGAAGGUGUCCACUGACCGCAACAAGUCAUGGACAGAAGGUAGAAGGUUUUUCGUGUGUCCCAACUAUGCACAUGAUCGUCGAAGGCCAACUAACGCAUAUGACAUACCACCGUCCCCUCCUCCACUUUGCAAGUACUUCACUUGGAUAGAUCACGAGGUACCAAAAGAUAUCCAAGAGGACCAACGUGCAGAUUGGUUACGGAGGCAGCGCCUAU